rnacentral:rRNA from 1 species
CAGUAGCCGCGGUAAUACGGAGGGUGCAAGCGUUAAUCGGAAUUACUGGGCGUAAAGCGCACGCAGGCGGUCUGUCAAGUCAGAUGUGAAAUCCCCGGGCUUAACCUGGGAACUGCAUUUGAAACUGGCAGGCUAGAGUCUUGUAGAGGGGGGUAGAAUUCCAGGUGUAGCGGUGAAAUGCGUAGAGAUCUGGAGGAAUACCGGUGGCGAAGGCGGCCCCCUGGACAAAGACUGACGCUCAGGUGCGAAAGCGUGGGGAGCAAACAGGAUUAGAUACCGGGUAGUCCCUGUCUCUUAUACA